GUCUGACGUUUAUUAAAUCUUUCCGUGAACGCGGUCGAUGUUGAUCGAUGUAAAUAAAAGAACACACGCUACGUGGCGUUAGCGAGCAUCAGCGUGAAGUUCACUAGUCAAAGCAAAAGGCGUGUUUCUUGUUUACGGAAAAAAAUAAUUGAUUUUGUUGGUAUUCAUUUAAUACGAUCAACAUGGAAAACUAUAAAAGUGAAAAGAAGAGGAAGUCGAAAAACAAAUUAAAAGAGGAUAGUAUAACUUAUAAAAAUAUAAUGAAAAGGCUAAUGCAAGGAAGCGCAAGUUUU